GAUGAAGAACGUAGCGAAAUGCGAUACUUGGUGUGAAUUGCAGAAUCCCGUGAACCAUCGAGUCUUUGAACGCAAGUUGCGCCCGAAGCCAUCAGGUUGAGGGCACGUCUGCCUGGGCGUCACAUAUCGUUGCUCAAUGCCUAUUGCAGUGCAAUAGGAAUUUCUAGGGCGAAUGAUGGCUUCCCGUGAGCGUUGUUGCCUCGCGGUUGGUUGAAAAUCGAGUCCUUGGUAGGGUGUGCCAUGGUAGAUGGUGGUCGAGUUAGAACGAUACCGAUCAUGUGCAUGCUCCCCAAAAUAUGGCCUCUAUGACCCACACGCGUCUUUUGACGCUCAUGACGAGACCUCAGGUCAGGCGGGGCUACCCGCUGAAUUUAAGCAUAUCAAUAAGCGGAGGA
rnacentral:misc_RNA from 1 species